CUCGCAUGUGUGAAUUCAAGGCAGAAUGUUGUUCAAAUUCUAAAGAAAACCUAAAACCAAUAGAUUCAAAAUUUAUUAUGAAAAUAUUAAAAAGAGUAAUAGCACUUUCAAAUUUAUUCUAUGAUGCCAGUAUUACACUAAUAUCAAAACCAAUUAAUGAUGUGACAAAAAAGAAAGCUAUAUAACUCCCCUCGCAGUGUGAAUUAUGGGACUGAUCCAGACCCCAAGAAUGUGGGUGUCAGUCAGAAAAUCUUGGAAAUCCUUGGGGCCUCCUGUAGUAGAUCCAUACUUAUCCCUAGCAUAGCUGUGGACUAUGGGAGGAGAUUCUGCAUAGAGGGAUACUCCCUGAGCCAAGACACAUGGGGUUGGGCCUAAGAUCUAUCCCAAAGGAUAUGAUAGACUCUGAUGAACCUCUAUGGAAGGCCUCACCUUCCCUGGAGAGCAGAUAGGAUACUUGAUAGUUAGGGUUUUUAUUUAUUUAUUAGUUCUACUUAGGGAACAAGCUUGUUUCACAUGUAAGUCCAUUCUCCAUCUCCCUCCCCUCAACCAUAUCCCUCUUCCCCCACUCCAGCAUACCCCUCAUCCCAUCAACCCACCAAUUCCCAGGCAGGGUAGGGCCCUCAAUGGGGGCUUUGCAAAGCCCACAUAAUCUUCCUGUCCUGGUCCUGGGCCCUUCCCCAUGUAUCUAGGGCCAGAGUGUAACCCUUCAUAUGGGAUGGGCUCUCAAAGUCCCUUCUUGCACCAAGGAAAAAUGCUAAUCCACCAGCAGAGAUGACCUGGAGUGCAGAGGCCUCCUUAUUGACAUCCAUGUUCAGGGGUCUGGAUCAGUCUUGUACUGGCCUCCCCGACAGCAUCUGGAGUCGAUAUGCUCUCCCUUGUUCAGGCCAACUGUUUCUGUGGGUUUCUCCAAUGUGGUACAGACCCCUUCAUUUUUCAUUCCUCCCUCUCUUCAACUAAAUUCCCGAUAUCAGCUCAGUGUAUAUCUGUGGAUAUCUGUCUCGGUUCCAUCAGCCACUGGGUGAGGGCUCUAGGAUGAAAUAAAGAGACGUCAUCAAUCUCAUUUUAGGGGAAGGGCUUUUGAGUUAUCCUCUCCUACAUUGCCUGGAUUGUCACAUCAUGUCAUCCUUGUAGGUCUCUGGACAUCUCCCUGGUUCCAGAUCUCUUCUCAGACCUAUAGUGGCUCCCUCUGAUAUGGUAUCUCUCAUCCUGCACUCUUUCCUCUAUUCUUCCCCUAACUCAAUAUUUCUGCCCCUCCAUUUCCUCUCCUCUACUCCUCUUCUCUUGCUCUUAUUGUAGCAUCUCCAUCACCCUACCCUCAUGCUCUCAAUUAGUUCAGGAGAUCAUGACACUUCCAUUACUGGGGACCAUUUAUCCCUUAGAGUCCUCCAUGUUUCCUAGUUUCUUUAGUGAAGAGGAUUAUAGGCUGGUAGUCAUUUACUCUAUGUCCAAAAUUCAUAUAUCAGUUAGUAUAUACCAUGUUUAUCGUUUUGUGACUGGGUUACAUCACUCAGGAUGGUUCCUUCUAGUUCCAUCCAUUUGCCUGAGAAUUUCAAGAUUCCAUUGCUUUUUUCUGCUGAUUAGUACUCCAUUGUAUAAAUGUACAACAUUUUCUCAAUCCAUUCUUCAGUUGAGGGGCAUCUAGGUAGUUUCCAGGUUCUGGCUAUUACAAACAAAGCUGCUAUGAACAUGGUUGAACAUAUGUCCUUGUUGUAUGAACAUGCACUAUUUGGGUAUAUACCCAAGAGAAGAAUGGCUGGAACUUGAGGUAGACUGAUUCCCAUUUUUCUGAGCAACCGCCAUACUGAUUUCAAGAGUGGUCUUAUAAGUUCCCACUCCCACCAGCAAUGGAGGAGUGUUCCUUAUUCUCCACAUCCUCUCCAGCAUAGAUUGUCAUUGGUAUUUUUGAUUUUAGCCAUUCUGACAGGUGUGAGGAGGUAACUCAGAGAUGCUUUCAGUUGCAUUUCUCUGAUGACCAGCAACAUUUUUUGAAGAUGCUAUCUUUUUUCCAUUGUAUAGAUUUAGCACCUUUGUCAAAAAUAAGGUAGUCAAAGGUGUGUGGGUCAAUAUCUGGGUUUUCAAUUAGAUUCCAUUGGUCUAUCUGUCUAUUUUUGUGCCAAUAACAAGCUGUUUUCAGAACUAUGGCUCUAUAUUAGAGAUUGAAUUUGGGGAUGGUGAUGCCUCCAGAGGAUCCUUUAUUGUAAAGAGUUGUUUUGGCUCUCCUGGUUUUUUUAUUUUUCCAUUUAAAGUUGAGUAUUGUUCUUUCAAUGUCUGUUUAAAACUGUGUUGGGAUUUUGAUGGGCAUUGCAUCCAAUCUGUAGAUUGCUUUUGGCAGGAUUGCCACUUUUACUAUAUUAAUUCUACCUAUCCAAGAGCAUGGGAGAUCUUUCCAUUUUCUGGUAUCUUCUUUAAUUUCUUUCUUUAAAGUCUCAAAGUUCUUAUUGUACAGGUCUUUCACUUUUUUGGUUAGUGUUACUCCAAGAUAUUUUAUGUUGCUUGUGGAUAUUGUGAAAGGUGAUUUUUUUCCUGAUUUCAUUCUCAAUGGAUUUAUCAUCUGUAUAUAGUAGGGCUACUGAUUUUUUGAGUUAAUUUUGUAUCCUGCUACCUUGCUGAAGGUGUUCAUCAGCCAUAGGAGUUCCCUGGUAGAUGUUUUCGGGUCACUAAUGUAGACUAUCAAGUCGUCUGGAAAUAGUGAAUGUUUGAUUUCAUCCUUUCAAAUUUGUAUCCCUUUGAUCCCCUUUUCUUGUCUUAUUGCUAUAGCCAGAACUUCUAAUACAAUAUUGAAGAGAUAUGGACAGAGUGGACAGCCUUGUCUUGUUCCUGAUUUUAGAGGAAACGGUAUGAGUUUCUCUCCAUUUAGUUUGACGUUGGCUAUUGGUUUGGCGUAUAUUGCG
ensembl:lncRNA